UUCGUGUUCGAGAUGUUUGCACUGC
rnacentral:sRNA from 1 species